CUAUACAUGACUCUGCGCAUAUCAAUAAGCGGAGGAAAAGAAACUAACAAGGAUUCCCCUAGUAACGGCGAGUGAAGCGGGAAGAGCUCAAAUUUGAAAUCUUAAAGGGUUUCCCUUUACGAAUUGUAGUUUAAAGAAGUGUUUUCUGUUGAGGUUUUGGUAAAAGUUCUUUGGAAUAGGACAUCAUAGAGGGUGAGAAUCCCGUAUUUGACCUUUACUUUCAACUUUGUGAUACACUUUCAAAGAGUCGGAUUGUUUGGGAAUGCAGUCCAAAAUGGGUGGUAAAUUUCAUCUAAAGCUAAAUAUUGGCGAGAGACCGAUAGCGAACAAGUACCGUGAGGGAAAGAUGAAAAGAACUUUGAAAAGAGAGUUAAACAGUACGUGAAAUUGUCAAAAGGGAAGCGUUUGACACCAGUGUUGUUUUUCUGAAAAUCAAUUAAAGAACUGUUUAUGCUAAGCUGUUUAGACUUUAUCAGCUAACUGUUUAGUUUUGAGCUUUUCUUUAAUGCACUUUCCAGUUAACAAGUCAACAUCAAUUUCUUUUGCUGUAAAAAAGCUUGAGGAAGGUGGCUUGAGAUUCGUCUUAAGUGUUUAUAGCCUCUUGCCUAUGCAGUCGGAGAGAUUGAGGUCUGCAGCGUAGAUCCUUCGGGGCUAAAUGCAUUUGUGCUAAGUUAUAGCAUUUUAUAGACAACUUGUUGACUAUGAUUUGUCUUGUAGCUUACUCGCUUAUGUUAUUUUACCUACGCUUAGGAUGUUGAUCUACAGAGCGAGAGU
rnacentral:rRNA from 1 species